CACGCUGUAAACGAUGGAUACUAGGUGUGGGAGGUAUCGACCCCUUCUGUGCCGCAGCAAACGCAAUAAGUAUCCCGCCUGGGGAGUACGAUCGCAAGGUUGAAACUCAAAGGAAUUGACGGGGGCCCGCACAAGCGGUGGAGCAUGUGGUUUAAUUCGAUGCAACGCGAAGAACCUUACCAGGUUUUGACAUCUGUGGAACCCUGGUGAAAGCCGGGGGUGCCUUUUAGGAGCCACAAGACAGGUGG
rnacentral:rRNA from 1 species